rnacentral:lncRNA from 1 species
GGUUCAAAUCGUCGUAGGAGGGCAUUAAAUCUCUUCCUUGUUCGUCAAAUAUAGAUCACAUUUCAUCAUUUACAGUCCAUCAUAUUCAGCUUCUUCACAGUUUGCAAAGUAUUGCAAAAAAAAGCUAGAAGAGAGGAAGAAGAAUCUUCGUCAUAAUCCAAGUUUAGUAAUUAUAUGAUAUUCAUAACAUAUUCACCAACAUUUUUUAUAUUGACUAUUGUACUCGUAUCAUACUCAGUGUUGGAGUGAGUACUUAUUGUUAAAGAAACGCGAGCCUGAAUUACACUGAUAGAAACAGAAAAACACUUUUCGUUUUAAUACUACAACAGACGGAGGCAUCUCAUCUUCUCUCCUUCUCUACAGCUUCUCUUUCUAUUAAUUCAGCCGUAGUAGUUGAAGAAGCGAUUAUCAAAACGUUCUCCUUCCCGUGCUCUCAUCGACGAUCUCGAGAACACUGAGCACAUUCUAUUAAAAGAAAUAAUUUAACUUAAGUAUUUCUUGUAUUUUCCAUUUACUGUAGAUUAUUCCGACUGUGGACAUGUGGUGUGACUUGUUAUAAUAUAUUGUAAUUGUUGUUUAAUCUAUUGUACUGUGUUAACUUACUAACACUUUAUUCGUGAGUGCUCUUAUCAUAAUCAUGGAUGCCAAUGAAUCUCCACGCUUGUUUGGGUCCUCCUCAACGCCAUUCAGUCCCCGGGGUAAACAAGAAGAAAAUGGCAAGGAGGAGAUUGUAGUAGAGACCUGGGACUUUAUGAGAGAUGAGCUUGAAGACUUUGAGAAGGCCCUGCAAUCCUUUGUUUCAGAGAAUGAAACAACGCCUCCAUUGAUCAUUGUAGAAAAGGAAUUAACGCCCAAAACAAAGAAAAAGAAACCACCACUCAUGCCAAAACCAACACUUCAUAAGCUUGGAGCCAUUCGAAAAACUUUAGUCAGUAGUGGAUUCAAUGGAAGCAACAGUGCUACUCCUAAGCCAUAUAUGGAAACGGAUAUUUAGUUUUAUGAAUGAGAUACGAGUAAUGCAAACAUGUAUUAGAGACCUUAGAGCUUAAUACCCGGUUCAGAUAAAUGACAUCCACAUCACUGGGCAUCAUACGUAUAUUCAAUCUCCUUCAGAAGUCUUAGCCAAUGGACAAUCACCUUUAAACAUAUUUGAUGUAUAGGACCUUGUCUAAAGAGUCAAAUAAGACUACAAAUCAUGUUUCUCAUAUCCAAGCUAUUUUUCAAAUCAUAAACAUUAAUAUACCACAUUUCAAAACUCUAUAUUUUUUGUAAUCUUGGCAACUUUAUCUUUUUUUGAAUCCUAACUUUUGUGGAAUUAGUUAUAAUAAUGUACAAAAUGUCAAAAAUACAUAAAGCGUUUCCUAAUGACGUCACCAAUCAACAGGCAGGACCGCUAAACCAUAAUAUGUGUACUAAACUUGAUAGUUCUUCAAAGCAAUAAACCAAAUGACGUAACGUUGCCUGUUAGGUUGAGAAGAUUCCUCCAUCCCCCGCAAGAUACGCUUUUUAUGACAAUAGUAAUUACUUUAACAUUUUCCCUUGUGACAUAUUAAACUAUUCUUCCCUUCACUAUUAAAUUCACAUUGUGAAUAGUAAAAAUUAAAAGAGUCCCCCCGUUGAAAAAGCUGUUAAAAAAAUUAAAUUUAUUGGAAAAAAUAAUCAAAAAUCCAUAGUUAUUCAUAAAAAAAAAAAAAAAUUGGGAAAAAAAUUUGAA